rnacentral:rRNA from 1 species
AUGAUCCGCCCGCCUCGCCUCCUCCUCCACCGCGCCCCCUUCCUCCUCCGAACCCCGCAACCGCCUCGCGCCCCGCCGCUCCGCGCCCGCCGAGCCCUAACCCCGACUCUUCAGAGCUUCGCGUCCUGCCGCCUCGCGCCGCUCAGCCUGCUGAUGGAUCCGGCCACGCCCUACUCCGAUGCCGACGCCUACGCCUACGCCGAGUUCAACGGGGAGACUAGCGUGGACGACCCGGAGUUCGCGGACGCCGAGGCGGAAGCGGGGGGAGAGGACGCUGGUGAUGAGAUGCCCAGGGAACUGCCCGAGGAGCUCGCCAGAGGGGUGGUGUGCCUCGAGUGCCAGACUUCGGCCGAGGCCGUGGCGGCCGGGGAAGGCGAGACCUGCCGCGUCUACGUCGUCGGCACUGCCCAUGUCUCGCAGGAAUCAUGUGAUCAAGUCAAAGCCGUCAUCAACUUUCUGAAACCUCAGGCUGUUUUCUUGGAACUGUGUUCCAGCAGGGUUUCUAUUCUGACACCACAAAACCUUCAGGUUCCUACUAUGAACGAAAUGAUUGACAUGUGGAAGAAGAAAAAGAUGAACACCUUUGGGAUUCUCUAUAGCUGGUUUCUUGCAAAGGUUGCUAGCCAGCUUGAUGUGUUACCUGGAGCUGAAUUUCGAGUGGCAUUUGAGGAAGCAAUGACUUAUGGUGGCAAAGUUAUCCUUGGAGAUCGCCCUGUCCAGAUCACUCUAAGGAGAACUUGGGGGAAAAUGUCAUUGUGGCACAGGGCUAAAUUUCUGUACUACAUUGUUUUCCAGUCCUUAUUUUUACCGAGCCCUGAAGAUCUUAAUAAAAUGUUAAAGGACAUGGAUGAUGUCGACAUGCUAACACUUGUCAUUCAAGAGAUGAGUAAGGCAUUUCCUAGUCUGAUGGAGACACUUCUCCAUGAACGUGAUAUGUAUAUGUCUUCCAAAUUAUUGAAGGUAGCAAGGGAACAUUCUUCAGUGGUGGCAGUUGUGGGAAAAGGGCAUGUUUCUGGGAUAAAGAAAAAUUGGCAACAACCUAUUGAGGUACAAAGUUUGAUGGAAUUACCUGUGCCUAGGAAAGGUGUUUCGAAGUUGAAAAUUUUGGCGUCCAUUGGAGCAGUAAGCGCAGUAGUAGCAUCUGGAAUCUAUAUAUGGGGUAAAAAAUAA